UACGAAGGGGGCGAGCGUUGUUCGGAAUUACUGGGCGUAAAGGGCGCGCAGGCGGCCUUAGAAGUCAGAUGUGAAAGCCCCGGGCUCAACCUGGGAAUGGCAUUUGAUACUCUGAGGCUGGAGUACGGGAGAGGAGAGUGGAAUUCCCAGUGUAGAGGUGAAAUUCGUAGAUAUUGGGAAGAACACCGGUGGCGAAGGCGGCUCUCUGGACCGUAACUGACGCUGAGGCGCGAAAGCGUGGGGAGCAAACAGGAUUAGAA
rnacentral:rRNA from 1 species